rnacentral:rRNA from 1 species
UACGUAGGUGGCAAGCGUUGUCCGGAAUUACUGGGCGUAAAGGGCGCGCAGGCGGAUGCUUAAGUCUGAUGUGAAAACUAGAGGCUCAACCACUAGAUUGCAUUAGAAACUGGGCAUCUUGAGUGCAGGAGAGGGCAGUGGAAUUCCUAGUGUAGCGGUGAAAUGCGUAGAUAUCAGGAGGAACACCUGUGGCGAAGGCGUCCAUCUGGCCCGUUACUGACGCUGAUGCGCGAAAGCUAGGGGAGCAAAC